rnacentral:rRNA from 1 species
UAAACAUGCAAGUCGAGCGGACAGAAGGGAGCUUGCUCCCGGAUGUUAGCGGCGGACGGGUGAGUAACACGUGGGUAACCUGCCUGUAAGACUGGGAUAACUCCGGGAAACCGGAGCUAAUACCGGAUAGUUCCUUGAACCGCAUGGUUCAAGGAUGAAAGACGGUUUCGGCUGUCACUUACAGAUGGACCCGCGGCGCAUUAGCUAGUUGGUGAGGUAACGGCUCACCAAGGCGACGAUGCGUAGCCGACCUGAGAGGGUGAUCGGCCACACUGGGACUGAGACACGGCCCAGACUCCUACGGGAGGCAGCAGUAGGGAAUCUUCCGCAAUGGACGAAAGUCUGACGGAGCAACGCCGCGUGAGUGAUGAAGGUUUUCGGAUCGUAAAGCUCUGUUGUUAGGGAAGAACAAGUGCAAGAGUAACUGCUGCUCUGAUCGACUUCCCG